rnacentral:rRNA from 1 species
CGCGUGAGGAUCUGCCUACAGGAUGGGGACAACAGAGGGAAACUUCUGCUAACACCCAAUGUGCCGAGAGGUGAAAUAUUGUAUAGCCUGUAGAUGAGCUCGCGUCUGAUUAGCUAGUUGGAAGUGUAAAGGACUCCCAAGGCGACGAUCAGUAGCUGUUCUGAGAGGAAGAUCAGCCACACUGGGACUGAGACACGGCCCAGACUCCUACGGGAGGCAGCAGUGGGGAAUUUUGCGCAAUGGGCGGAAGCCUGACGCAGCGACGCCGCGUGGGGGAUGACGGCCUCGGUUGUAAACUCU